rnacentral:lncRNA from 1 species
GUCAGGAUCGUCUCAUUCACAGGACACUCACAAAUCAAUACACCCUAAUAACAAUCUCAACAUGGUAUUUCCUUUCCUGAAAAUACUACGUCUUGAUCACACUUUAACCUCAUUACAUACAUCAUUUAACAUAUCAAUGCACCACUCAAUCACUUCAUAUAUAAACUUUCUAAACAAUCCAAAUAUAUCUCAAACUUUACUUAAAACACAUAAUAAAUUCCAAAUAUAUGCUCUUUAACUCAAUCAUCAUCUGAAA